rnacentral:lncRNA from 1 species
UUUUCUCUCUCUUUUCUCUCAACAUACUAAUAUUUAAAAAUAAUUAAUGCUUAUAAUAAUAACAAUAAUUAAAAAUUAAUAUUUAAUAAUAAAGAUAUUAUUAUUACUGAAUGAUUAUUGUUAUUAUUAUUAUUAUUAUUAUUAUUAUUAUUUAAUUGACUAUACAUGUCAAAUUUGAUAAUAUUGGUUUGUAUAGUCAAAUUAAAUAUUAGUAAUAGUAAUAAUAAUUAUAAUAAUUAUAAUAAUUAUUAUUUAGUAACAAGCCGUUCAUAGUACAAAUGGUAAAGGAUUUGGUGGUUGGUGUCUUAGGUUUUAAGUUUGAAUAAUAGUUAAUUCACAGUUUCGUUGAUUUAUAUUUUCAAUUAAGUUUAUUUCUAAAAAAAUAAACGAAGAGAGUAGCAUCUUGCUAUCUUUCUGAAAAAAAACAUUCAAUAAUAAUAAUAUUUAUUAUUAUUAAAUAUUAAUUUUUAAUUAAUAUUAUUAUAACAAAAAUUAAUUAUUUUUAAAUAUUAGUAGUUGGGAGGAGAGAGACAAAAAAAAUUUCUCUCUCCUAAUUAGCAUAUAAAUACUAUUAAAGUUAUCUUUUAUUUUCUAAUCUAUCAAAAGAAUGCUAGAUUAGAAAUUUUUUUUUUGAAAAGAAGGCUAGAUUGGAAAAUUUUUUUUCUAAAAAGGCUAUACAUGGCAUUACUUAUAAAAAUAUUGCAUAGUCAAAUUUUAAAAAACAACGCAAAUUUUAGUUAAACUGGUCGUAUGUAGCGCAGAUAGUAAAGAAUUUGAUGGUUGGUAUUCGAAGUUCCAAAUUUAAAGCAUAAUUAAGUUGCUUUAUAUUUUAAACUAAAUUUAUUUCUAAAAAAAUCAACAAACAAAAUAGUGCGCUAUCUUUCUCUCUCUCUCUCAAGAAAAAAAAGAAAAGGCCUAAAUACAAAAAUUUUUAUAAAUACCUGCUUUUUUAUUUUUCUCUCGCAACUUCCGACAACCUAUAUUUUAUCCUCUCAAAAUUUUAAAAAUGUAUUUAGUCCUCCUCCUUUAAAAUUUCAUCACUAUUCCAUCCAUUUCAUAUAAUUUAUACUGAAAAACUUUUUAAAAAUAAUAUAAAUAUAUUAAUUUUUUCUUAUAAAAUAAGUAUUCGCCCUAUUACUAUUUUUAAAAUUUUAAAAGAGAAAAAUAAUAAAUUUUUAAAAAUUAGAAAAAGAAAAGUAGGUGCUUAUAAAAAGAAUUUCUUUAUUUUAGUUUUUAAAAAAA